rnacentral:rRNA from 1 species
UACGUAGGCAGCGAGCGUUGUUCGGAUUCAUUGGGCGUAAAGGGUGUGUAGGUGGCGCGCUAAGUCGGGUGUGAAAUUUCGGAGCUUAACUCCGAAACUGCAUUCGAUACUGGCGUGCUUGAGGACUGGAGAGGAGACUGGAAUUUACGGUGUAGCAGUGAAAUGCGUAGAUAUCGUAAGGAAGACCAGUGGCGAAGGCGGGUCUCUGGACAGUUCCUGACACUGAGACACGAAGGCCAGGGGAGCAAACGGG